AUUGAACGCUGGCGGCAGGCCUAACACAUGCAAGUCGAGCGGAUGAAGGGAGCUUGCUCCUGGAUUCAGCGGCGGACGGGUGAGUAAUGCCUAGGAAUCUGCCUGGUAGUGGGGGAUAACGUCCGGAAACGGGCGCUAAUACCGCAUACGUCCUGAGGGAGAAAGUGGGGGAUCUUCGGACCUCACGCUAUCAGAUGAGCCUAGGUCGGAUUAGCUAGUUGGUGGGGUAAAGGCCUACCAAGGCGACGAUCCGUAACUGGUCUGAGAGGAUGAUCAGUCACACUGGAACUGAGACACGGUCCAGACUCCUAAGAGAGGCAGCAGUGGGGAAUAUUGGACAAUGGGCGAAAGCAUGAUCCAGCCAUGCCGCGUGUGUGAAGAAGGUCUUCGGAUUGUAAAGCACUUUAAGUUGGGAGGAAGGGCAGUAAGUUAAUACCUUGCUGUUUUGACGUUACCAACAGAAUAAGCACCGGCUAACUUCGUG
rnacentral:rRNA from 1 species